GUCAAUAUCUGCAGACAGAGCAAAGCUUCAAUCUUUAAAAUAACAAACUGCACAUGGGCUCAGCAAGGGGCUCCAGGACCCAUAGUGUCACAUUUACAGAGUGAGGUACUGGGGAGAGUGGGACACAGGUUAUAGCAUUGCUAGCUAGCAAAGUAUAGAAUGGAUAGAGUAAAGGUAGAUACUGGGUGGGUCCCAAGUUAUAGCAUUGCUGGCUGUCAGUGUAUAGAGUAAGGGUAGAUACUGGAGAGAGUGUGUCCCAGGUUAUAGCAUUGCUGGCUGUUAGUGUAUAGAAUGGAUAGAGUAAGGGUAGUUACUGGGCAGAGUGUGUCCCAGGUUAUAGCAUUGCUGGCUGUCAGUGUAUAGAAUGGAUAGAGUAAGGGUAGAUACUGGGCAGAGUGUGUCCCAGGUUAUAGCAUUGCUGGCUGUCAGUGAAUAGAGUAAGGGUAGAUACUGGGCAGAGUGUGUCCCAGGUUAUAGCAUUGCUAGCUAGCAGAAUAUAGAAUGUAUAGAGUAAAGGUAGAUACUGGAGAGAGUGUGUCCCAGGUUAUAGCAUUGCUAGCUAGCAGAAUAUAGAAUGUAUAGAGUAAAGGUAGAUACUGGAGAGAGUGUGUCCCAGGUUAUAGCAU